CCUACGGGUGGCAGCAGUGGGGAAUAUUGGGCAAUGGGCGCAAGCCUGACCCAGCAACGCCGCGUGAAGGAAGAAGGCUUUCGGGUUGUAAACUUCUUUUCUGAGGGACGAAGAAAGUGACGGUACCUCAGGAAUAAGCCACGGCUCACCACGUGCCAGCAGCCGCGGUAAUACGUAGGUGGCAAGCUUUAUCCGGAUUUAUUGGGGGAAAAGGGCGUGUAGGGGGGAAAGCAAGACAGAUGUGAAAACUCAGGGCUCAACCCUUAGCCUGCAUUUGAAACUGUUUUUCUUGAGUGCUGGAGAGGCAAUCGGAAUUCCGGGUGUAGCGGUGAAAUGCGUAGAUAUACGGAGGAACACCAGUGGCGAAGGCGGAUUGCUGGACAGUAACUGACGCUGAGGCGCGAAAGCGUGGGGAGCAAACAGGAUUAGAUACCCUGGUAGUC
rnacentral:rRNA from 1 species